rnacentral:lncRNA from 1 species
CUGGUAGAGCAUCAAUUAAGGAUAAAGAUGAAAUAUAUUGAUAGGUCAUGGACCUCCUUUUCGAGAUAUUUGAGAUUUGAAAUAUGGCGGGAAAAGGCUGACUCCGACUUUUACCUUAUAUUUGCAUUGAUAUUAUUUGGGUCUCAAAACAAAGAAAGAAAAUCAAGAAUCUUCUAAAAUUUUGGUAAAUGACCUUUCAUGAGCUAUUAAGUCUUAUAUGAAAAAAUAAAUGGGUGUUAUGGGCAAAAUAUUUUACAUUGUAUUGUAUGGAAAAACACCAAGGAGUCCGAAC